CGACCUCUGUCAUGUUCGCCAUGGAGAUUAUUCUCGAACCGACUUUUUCAGAAACGGGGAGUCAAUAGCUGUUGUUCCAGAGCCUUGUCCCGCCGAUCACGGGACAUAGUACUCGUGGCCAGCGGUGCGGCGCCCACCUGAGCCUAAGGGUUCAGAAACAUAUCUUCCAGGCGGCAUUGCGAUGGAGGUCUU
rnacentral:other from 1 species